rnacentral:sRNA from 1 species
AGCUGUUCCCCUCUGGAGGUUUAUUGACCUUCACACUUCAUGGGCCCCGGUUUCCGCGGGCCCAUUUUUUUGUCUCCC